AGUUUGAUCAGUGGCUCGAAGGACGAACGCUGGCGGCGUGCCUAACACAUGCAAGUCGAGCGGGGUCCAUCCGGUAGCAAUACUGGGGAAGACCUAGCGGCGAACGGGUGAGUAACACGUGAGAAACCUGCCCCGAAGUCUGGGAUAACCCGAGGAAACUCGAGCUAAUACCGGAUGCCUUCUUCUGAUCGCAUGGUCGGAUGAAGAAAGAUUUAUCGCUUCGGGAGGGUCUCGCGGCCUAUCAGCUAGUUGGCGGGGGUUAACGGCCCACCAAGGCGUCGACGGGUAGCUGGUCUGAGAGGACGAUCAGCCACACUGGGACUGAGACACGGCCCAGACUCCUACGGGAGGCAGCAGUGGGGAAUAUUGCGCAAUGGGCGAAAGCCUGACGCAGCAACGCCGCGUGCGGGAUGAAGGCCUUCGGGUUGUAAACCGCUUUCAGUGGGGACGAAUUCAGACGGUACCCACAGAAGAAGCCCCGGCCAACUACGUG
rnacentral:rRNA from 1 species